rnacentral:rRNA from 1 species
GACGAACGCUGGCGGCGUGCUUAACACACGCAAGUCGAACGGUAAGGCCCUUCGGGGUACACGAGUGGCGAACGGGUGAGUAACACGUGGGUGAUCUGCCCUGCACUUCGGGAUAAGCCUGGGAAACUGGGUCUAAUACCGGAUAGGACCACUGCCUGCAUGUGGUGGUGGAAAGCUUUUGCGGUGUGGGAUGGGCCCGCGGCCUAUCAGCUUGUUGGUGGGGUGAUGGCCUACCAAGGCGACGACGGGUAGCCGGCCUGAGGGGGUGACCGGCCACACUGGGACUGAGAUACGGCCCAGACUCCUACGGGAGGCAGCAGUGGGGAAUAUUGCACAAUGGGCGCAAGCCUGAUGCAGCGACGCCGCGUGAGGGAUGACGGCCUUCGGGUUGUAAACCUCUUUCAGCACCGACGAAGCGCAAGUGACGGUAGGUGCAGAAGAAGGACCGGCCAACUACGUGCCAGCAGCCGCCGUAA